GGGUUGUGAGGUUAAGCGACUAAGCGUACACGGUGGAUGCCCUGGCAGUCAGAGGCGAUGAAGGACGUGCUAAUCUGCGAUAAGCGUCGGUAAGGUGAUAUGAACCGUUAUAACCGGCGAUUUCCGAAUGGGGAAACCCAGUGUGAUUCGUCACACUAUCAUUAACUGAAUCCAUAGGUUAAUGAGGCGAACCGGGGGAACUGAAACAUCUAAGUACCCCGAGGAAAAGAAAUCAACCGAGAUUCCCCCAGUAGCGGCGAGCGAACGGGGAGCAGCCCAGAGCCUGAAUCAGUGUGUGUGUUAGUGGAAGCGUCUGGAAAGGCGCGCGAUACAGGGUGACAGCCCCGUACACAAAAAUGCACAUACUGUGAGCUCGAUGAGUAGGGCGGGACACGUGGUAUCCUGUCUGAAUAUGGGGGGACCAUCCUCCAAGGCUAAAUACUCCUGACUGACCGAUAGUGAACCAGUACCGUGAGGGAAAGGCGAAAAGAACCCCGGCGAGGGGAGUGAAAAAGAACCUGAAACCGUGUACGUACAAGCAGUGGGAGCACAGAGCAAUCUGUGUGACUGCGUACCUUUUGUAUAAUGGGUCAGCGACUUAUAUUCUGUAGCAAGGUUAACCGAAUAGGGGAGCCGAAGGGAAACCGAGUCUUAACUGGGCGUUAAGUUGCAGGGUAUAGACCCGAAACCCGGUGAUCUAGCCAUGGGCAGGUUGAAGGUUGGGUAACACUAACUGGAGGACCGAACCGACUAAUGUUGAAAAAUUAGCGGAUGACUUGUGGCUGGGGGUGAAAGGCCAAUCAAACCGGGAGAUAGCUGGUUCUCCCCGAAAGCUAUUUAGGUAGCGCCUCGUGAAUUCAUCUCCGGGGGUAGAGCACUGUUUCGGCAAGGGGGUCAUCCCGACUUACCAACCCGAUGCAAACUGCGAAUACCGGAGAAUGUUAUCACGGGAGACACACGGCGGGUGCUAACGUCCGUCGUGAAGAGGGAAACAACCCAGACCGCCAGCUAAGGUCCCAAAGUCAUGGUUAAGUGGGAAACGAUGUGGGAAGGCCCAGACAGCCAGGAUGUUGGCUUAGAAGCAGCCAUCAUUUAAAGAAAGCGUAAUAGCUCACUGGUCGAGUCGGCCUGCGCGGAAGAUGUAACGGGGCUAAACCAUGCACCGAAGCUGCGGCAGCGACGCUGAUGCGUUGUUGGGUAGGGGAGCGUUCUGUAAGCCUGUGAAGGUGUGCUGUGAGGCAUGCUGGAGGUAUCAGAAGUGCGAAUGCUGACAUAAGUAACGAUAAAGCGGGUGAAAAGCCCGCUCGCCGGAAGACCAAGGGUUCCUGUCCAACGUUAAUCGGGGCAGGGUGAGUCGACCCCUAAGGCGAGGCCGAAAGGCGUAGUCGAUGGGAAACAGGUUAAUAUUCCUGUACUUGGUGUUACUGCGAAGGGGGGACGGAGAAGGCUAUGUUGGCCGGGCGACGGUUGUCCCGGUUUAAGCGUGUAGGCUGGUUUUCCAGGCAAAUCCGGAAAAUCAAGGCUGAGGCGUGAUGACGAGGCACUACGGUGCUGAAGCAACAAAUGCCCUGCUUCCAGGAAAAGCCUCUAAGCAUCAGGUAACAUCAAAUCGUACCCCAAACCGACACAGGUGGUCAGGUAGAGAAUACCAAGGCGCUUGAGAGAACUCGGGUGAAGGAACUAGGCAAAAUGGUGCCGUAACUUCGGGAGAAGGCACGCUGAUAUGUAGGUGAAGUCCCUCGCGGAUGGAGCUGAAAUCAGUCGAAGAUACCAGCUGGCUGCAACUGUUUAUUAAAAACACAGCACUGUGCAAACACGAAAGUGGACGUAUACGGUGUGACGCCUGCCCGGUGCCGGAAGGUUAAUUGAUGGGGUCAGCGCAAGCGAAGCUCUUGAUCGAAGCCCCGGUAAACGGCGGCCGUAACUAUAACGGUCCUAAGGUAGCGAAAUUCCUUGUCGGGUAAGUUCCGACCUGCACGAAUGGCGUAAUGAUGGCCAGGCUGUCUCCACCCGAGACUCAGUGAAAUUGAACUCGCUGUGAAGAUGCAGUGUACCCGCGGCAAGACGGAAAGACCCCGUGAACCUUUACUAUAGCUUGACACUGAACAUUGAGCCUUGAUGUGUAGGAUAGGUGGGAGGCUUAGAAGUGUGGACGCCAGUCUGCAUGGAGCCGACCUUGAAAUACCACCCUUUAAUGUUUGAUGUUCUAACGUUGACCCGUAAUCCGGGUUGCGGACAGUGUCUGGUGGGUAGUUUGACUGGGGCGGUCUCCUCCUAAAGAGUAACGGAGGAGCACGAAGGUUGGCUAAUCCUGGUCGGACAUCAGGAGGUUAGUGCAAUGGCAUAAGCCAGCUUGACUGCGAGCGUGACGGCGCGAGCAGGUGCGAAAGCAGGUCAUAGUGAUCCGGUGGUUCUGAAUGGAAGGGCCAUCGCUCAACGGAUAAAAGGUACUCCGGGGAUAACAGGCUGAUACCGCCCAAGAGUUCAUAUCGACGGCGGUGUUUGGCACCUCGAUGUCGGCUCAUCACAUCCUGGGGCUGAAGUAGGUCCCAAGGGUAUGGCUGUUCGCCAUUUAAAGUGGUACGCGAGCUGGGUUUAGAACGUCGUGAGACAGUUCGGUCCCUAUCUGCCGUGGGCGCUGGAGAAUUGAGGGGGGCUGCUCCUAGUACGAGAGGACCGGAGUGGACGCAUCACUGGUGUUCGGGUUGUCAUGCCAAUGGCACUGCCCGGUAGCUAAAUGCGGAAGAGAUAAGUGCUGAAAGCAUCUAAGCACGAAACUUGCCCCGAGAUGAGUUCUCCCUGACUCCUUGAGAGUCCUGAAGGAACGUUGAAGACGACGACGUUGAUAGGCCGGGUGUGUAAGCGCAGCGAUGCGUUGAGCUAACCGGUACUAAUGAACCGUGAGGCUUAACCUUACAACGCCGAAGGUGUUU
rnacentral:rRNA from 1 species